rnacentral:rRNA from 1 species
AUUGAACGCUGGCGGCAGGCCUAACACAUGCAAGUCGAACGAGUGGCGGACGGGUGAGUAAUGUCUGGGAAACUGCCCGAUGGAGGGGGAUACAUACUGGAAAAUGAAGCGAAUAACGCAUACCAUCGGAUGUGCCCAGAUGGGCGUAGCUGGUAGGUGGGGUAACGGCGCACCUAGGCGACGAACCAUAGCUGGUCUGAGAGUAUGACCAGCAACACUGGGACUGAGACACGGUGCAUACUCCUACGGGAGGCAGCAGUGGGGAAUAUUGGACAAUGGGCGCUAGCCUGAUGCGCCCAUGCCGUGUGUAUGAAGCGGAGCUUCGGGUCGUAAAGGACUUUCAGCGAGGAGGCGUUACUCGCCGAAGAAGCACCGGCUAACUCCGUGCCAGCAGCCGCGGUAAUUC